rnacentral:lncRNA from 1 species
AUACUUGUGUGUGUGUUCAGGGGGAGUUGUCCUGCAUAUCAAAGCUGAAGGAGCUGCACUAAAACACUGGUAUGAAACUCUGAAAAACCCUAAUCAGCUACAUAUUCAAUGGCAUGACCUUGAGACCAUGACUGUACAGGAUGACUAAAGGUUGGUGUCUGGAUGACUCUAAGUGCUGUUUAGAAUUCAAUCACCACAAAUUCUUUACACUACACACUCAGAAUAUAAUUAUUGUACUAGUUUUAUGAAUAGAACAUUUGCUUGAGGGUCUCAUUUCACAGACACUGCCAGAAUGCCCUUUUCAUUUUAGUAAACAAAUUUAUUAUUUUCUCAANAGGAAAGAAAGUAACAUUAAAACAUCACAAACAAAAGUGCUUAAAAUGGUGCCUUUAAGUAAAUGGUCUAUGGUUAUGCUUAAUUUUUGCUAUUCAAUACACAAGUAUUUUAUGGGUAUGAUGUUACCAUACUUUAUUUNGAGAGCCAUUCUUCUUCUAACUUUGCAGUUGGUAAAGAAAAGUGGCUCUGUCAUUGAGUAGUCUUAUAAUAUACUAGCCUCUUUCAUAGCCUGGGAAAGGGAGGGACAAGAAGCAUAAUAUAAAGAGGUAUUUGCAUAUAUUCACUAAAGAAAUAUAAGACAGCGUUGAAAGCAGUAACAAUAUUAUGUAUUAACUUAUUAGCAUGUUAACUGUGAAACAGUUCUUUUUAAAAACAGGCAAUUACCAUUCAGUAUUUUAAUAAGCCUUUGUUUGCCCCUAACAUAAGUUUAUAUUAAAAAAAAACAGUGUAUUUAUUAAGGAAAUUAUUAAAAAGAAGACAUAUUGUAAUAAUUAGAGUGCUUUCAGCAUAAGCAUGUAACAUUUUAGUAACACUAAUUGUGUACUAUGUUAUGCUAAUUCGUUUCUAUUUCUGUUGUCCAACUUUUUUGCAGUUAUUACUGAAUGUUUGUGCUUUUACUGGAUGCAUUCUUGUUAGAGUGGACACACUAAACCAGUCAAACGUUUGUUGAUGGAAUGAGAUAGUGUAUUCACUCUAUAAUCAUGAUAACUAUUAUCAUCUUUAUCAAGGUUUCUAUUGGUAGAUAUUGUGGAACCUUCAUUUUAAUUGUUGCUGGGGACAAUUAUUAUCUUUGCGAUGAUAAACACAACUAGUAAGUUUUCCAGGGUUUAAUACUAGAGUAUUUUAUAAAAAUUACUAGGAAUAAUUUCAGUUGCAUUUAUUUAUUCAUUUGCAACUUUUCAAGUACUUUUGGACAUGUAAUAUGUUGUGUGCUCUUGUACAUAAUGGACCCAUAAAUCUUAUAGUGGAAAUGUGCAAAGAAAUAGGAUUUCACCAAAAGUCAUGGAAAUGUCACUGAAUGAUAUCAGGAGGGAACAUCUCCAUAUAACCACCCACUCUUUCCUAAGGUUGUUUAUCUACAUCAUUUGUGAUUGAAAGUCAAACAGCACCAACUGAUGUCAUUAUAAUUGUACAUGGUGUAGUUCACCUCAAGAUCUGCAAUUAAGUAUAAACUAUAAAAGAAUUAACAAUACAAUGUACAUUUGGCUUAAAAAAUCAUACAGAACAAUGACUAAAAUCAUACGUUAGCUGUUCGUAAUUAGUGGUUUUUAUAGACCCAUGAAACUGUGCUGAAUAAUGUACAGUAAAUCACAGUAUAGUCAUAAAAAAACGUCUAGAGUACAAACAUUAAAUGUGUGCAACACUUUCCACUAUUUACUACAAAAUAGUGUUAAUUAAACAAUAGAAAACAAUAGAAUUAGAAUAAUUUAGCAGUAUUUAGUGGUAUUUAUGUUGCACAGUUUUAGUGUUAUACUCUAAUAAGAGGUAAUGUAAUGUGGAAUAAAAGUGUCUUUCAUGGGUUUAUACUAACUGCUCUCAAUGCCAAAAGUUAGCUGCUUGGCUUUGUCUUUCAUGACAGGUUGAAUGAUACUGAUUGACGGAAUAGCCAAAAUAUANACUCAGUCAACAGUAGAGUCCACUAAAACCAUGUAAAAUGUUAGUAAUGAAGUAGUGCGCGAAGCAUGUGAAUUUCUUUAUUUUCUAUUGCUUAAUCUCCUCCAUAUUGCACUCACUACCCAGCACUAUUUGGUUAGUAAUAUUUUCACUCCACAAAUGAUAGACUUAAAAUAAUUAUAUACAAAUUAUAUGUAAAAUGCAAGUGUCAAUUGGUCAUUCUGAAAUUCAAAAAGAGACUGCCACCUAGUCACACUUUGAAGUAACCAAAGUCCAUGACUAGAAAGAGCCUUUUAAAAUUAGUAUAACUUUAGAGUUUGAGGAUAUUUGGAUUAAUAANAACAGACUGGCAAGUGUUUAAAUUUUAGAGAAAAAAAUUUGACAAAAUAAUAAUGUAUGGUGCUUCUGAGCAGCGUCCCCUAAAAACCAUACAACUCUCUUAUUUUAGCUUUGCAGAUGUUAUUAGUAUGAGUCAUACAAAUGAUACUAAUAACAUUUGGAGGAGGCUGUCUUUUUUUUUUCAACAUUUAAAAGAAAUUGUUAAUUGGUGAGUAUUUAACUAAAAAAAUUGUCUCAAACUUGAAAAUUGCACUUGUCUACUAACUAAUAACAAGUUGACCAUUUUCAUACUCUUUCCCAGUCACUUUUUCAAUUUCAGAAAGGCCAAUAGGAAUGAAAACAAAAUUAUAAAUGAGCUAACAUAAGAUGUGUGCAUACAACUCUUUUGGCUGCUGAGCCAAUGCCUACUUCUAGUGUAAGAACUNGGUGGUAAUAGCCAUUAAUUGAAAUAUUUCCAUAUGAAUGUGAUUAUUAUGUAAAAAUAUAAGUUAAAAUAAUUAUCAAUUCAAUAUUUCCAAGUACAAAAGGGUAUCAGAUUAAAUAAAAAAAGCUUGAUUUUGUGA